rnacentral:rRNA from 1 species
UACGUAGGGCGCAAGCGUUAUCCGGAAUUAUUGGGCGUAAAGAGCUCGUAGGCGGUUUGUCGCGUCUGCCGUGAAAGUCCGGGGCUCAACUCCGGAUCUGCGGUGGGUACGGGCAGACUAGAGUGAUGUAGGGGAGACUGGAAUUCCUGGUGUAGCGGUGAAAUGCGCAGAUAUCAGGAGGAACACCGAUGGCGAAGGCAGGUCUCUGGGCCACUACCUGACGCUGAGAAGCGAAAGCAUGGGGAGCGAACAGG